rnacentral:rRNA from 1 species
UACAGAGGUCCCGAGCUGUUGUCCGGAAUUACUGGCGUAAAGAGCUCGUAGGUGGUUUGUCGCGUUGUCCGUGAAAUUCCCUGGCUUAACUGGGGGCGUGCGGGCGAUACGGGCAGACUGGAGUACUGCAGGGGAGACUGGAAUUCCUGGUGUAGCGGUGGAAUGACGCAGAUAUCAGGAGGAACACCGGUGGCGAAGGCGGGUCUCUG